rnacentral:tRNA from 1 species
UCUAAUAUGGCAGAAUUAAUGCAAUGGAUUUAAGCCCCAUUAAUAAAGAAUUAUACUUUUUUUAGAA